rnacentral:rRNA from 1 species
GAGAGUUAAAUAGUACGUGAAAUUGUUGAAAGGGAAACGAUUGAAGCCAGUCGUACCUAUGGGUAAUCAGCCUUUUGGGUGUGAUUUUGUGGAGCGUGAGGAGUUAAACGCCUUCAUGCCUGCAUAUUCGUGCACUUUGGGUGUACUUGCCCGUAUGGUUGGUUAACAUCAAUUUUGGUGGUCAUAAAAUGACUGGAGGAAUGUAGCUUCGAUCUCGUAUUGAAGUGUUAUAGCCUUCGGUAGAUGUGAUGAUCGAGAUUGAGGAUUGCAACGGAUACCCUUCGGGGCUACCUGUCUGAUCUCUGAUCGUUGCUCUGGUGCUGAAAGCUUGCUUACGGUUAUCAAAGUCAAUGGUCAAUAGGUUAGAACGGGUUAAAUUCGUUAAGGAUGUUGACGUAAUGGCUUUAAACGA